GCUUAAUAAUGGGUAUAAUGGGUGAGUAUCUAGGUAUCUAUAAUGCCAUCUGGUGGUGUCGGAAGAGCCCAACACACUACGAUCCAAAUCCAAAAUGGUGGCAAACACAAGGGAACAUGCAGGUGGCAGCUCAAUACACAAACAUCGACCUCGCGUCGCUACCAAACUCAAGAGGUUGAGGCCGAUAGUUCAGAAGAUGACUUGGAAGAGUCAACACCAGGACCAAGCCAAACCAAAAAAAGAGGAGAGUCCAAACAAGGGCAUGGAAUGCACUGGAAGGCUACUCCAUUGACGCCAAACCUUACGAAGUAUCAGCAUCAGGAUUAAACUUAUCGAGACAGACAUGGCUGGACCCCAUUAAACUAUUUUGAACAGUACAUAGAUAGAGAUUUGAUGACAAUGAUUACAGAAUGCUCUAAUGUUAUGUCACUGUCUAAGAGUGGGGACCCACUCAACAUGACAGUAGAUGAGGUAUGCCACUUUUUUGGUGCCUGCAUUUUGAUGUCCUGCAUCCACUACCCAACAUAUACAGUAUACUAUAUAUGUUCCUUUUUUACAUUACCAAUGCAAAAUAUCACAAAAGCCAUACUAUGAACAUUUUGUUAAGUUUUUACACUAUGAUGUUCAAAACACAUUUGUCUCCUGAUGCAACAGUGACAAUUUAAAAUCGUUUGAAUGUUUGGUAUUUUAUUACAGGCAAACAAUGCUGUCCUGCAACUGUUUGCUGGUUGGUUUUUGUUUCAAAGUUAUCAUGUAUGUGUUGUUAAUACAUGCAAAACGGUCAGGAAAAAAGCGCUGUGUUCAAGGUUGAAAUAAAGAGUUUUUCACUCUAUUA